rnacentral:lncRNA from 1 species
AGAAACUAUGAUUAACUAAACAAGCAAAUUCCUUCUUCUGAGAAGUAUAUCAACAAACUCAAACAAAAAAUCUUAUAGAGAUAUUCAGACAGAAAAUACUAAAAAGUGUAAUAAGCUCUCAACAUAGCUUACUCAACUUAAACAAAACUAAAGACAUGACAAUGAAUCCAAACAUUAUCCUCCACUAAAACACAAGCAAUUCUCAUGUGUCACUAAUUCCCAACUAUUAUAAAAAUGCAGUCUAUAUAAAUCGCCCAACCUCUACAGAAAAAAAAAUGAUUAAACAAAUAUAAGUUAAAUUAGCAGAAGCCUCAUUAUAUGAUUCAAUUGGUUUAAAAACUAAGCACCCAAGAAAAAUAUAAAAUAAAUAGUACAAAUAUUGUUGCUUAAUUAAAAUAAAAGAAUCCUCAAUAAAAUUAUGUUAUAUUGCCAGAAUUAAUUUCUUACCAAAAAUCAAAUAAUAAAAAUAUAUGAACAAAACUUCAUUAUAAAUGUUUAAAUUCAGAUUAGUCUCUAAAAUAAAAUUUCAAAUGCCGUUCUUUCUAUAUACUGUCCACACUGUACUUAACAAUAUAAAUAUGUUCUCUAAAUAAAACAUCAACUUUACAUCAUGUUUAAAUUCCAAAUAAAUUAAUUUUGUUACGACCUUUUUAUUCUACUUUUAUUGAAUCGAUUAGUCAAAACCACUAAUGUUAUUCCACUUUGAACUAAGCAACUUGAAAACAAAGUAAUACACUACAAUCGCUAACUACUAUCAAAUAGAUCCGGAAAAUAUCAUUCUCUUUCAACAUAUUUUCAUUUUCAUAUUUUUGAACAUAUUUUCUUUACAAAGACAAUAAAAUGAAUUGUAAAUUCGUGUAAAAAUAAAAUAUAUGAACCCGGCGCGUAGUUUUUUUUUGCGGUUUGAGAAACAAAGUAUUAUACCCUAUAGUGAUAUAAAAUAAGGGAAUCCAAUUUGAAAAAAAAAAUAAAAAAAAUAUAUUAACCAUAUAAUUUAAA